rnacentral:ncRNA from 1 species
UGAACAGGGGUGCCUUGUGCUGAGAAAUACCCUUAUCACCUGAACUAGUUAAUGCUAGCGUAGGGAGUUUACAU